rnacentral:rRNA from 1 species
CACGGGGGGAGCAAGCGUUGUCCGGAUUCAUUGGGCGUAAAGAGCGUGUAGGCGGCCAGGUAGGUCGGUUGUGAAAACUGGAGGCUCAACCUUCAGAGGUCGACCGAAACCAUCUGGCUAGAGUCCGGGAGAGGAGAGUGGAAUUCCUGGUGUAGCGGUGAAAUGCGCAGAUAUCAGGAAGAACACCUAUGGCGAAGGCAGCUCUCUGGGACGGUACUGACGCUGAGACGCGAAAGCGUGGGGAGCGAACAGG